rnacentral:rRNA from 1 species
AUUGAACGCUGGCGGCAUGCUUUACACAUGCAAGUCGGACGGCAGCACAGAGGAGCUUGCUUCUUGGGUGGCGAGUGGCGAACGGGUGAGUAACGCAUCGGAACGUACCGAGUAAUGGGGGAUAACUGUCCGAAAGGACAGCUAAUACCGCAUACGCCCUGAGGGGGAAAGCGGGGGAUCUUAGGACCUCGCGCUAUUCGAGCGGCCGAUGUCUGAUUAGCUGGUUGGCGGGGUAAAGGCCUACCAAGGCGACGAUCAGUAGCGGGUCUGAGAGGAUGAUCCGCCACACUGGGACUGAGACACGGCCCAGACUCCUACGGGAGGCAGCAGUGGGGAAUUUUGGACAAUGGGCGCAAGCCUGAUCCAGCCAUGCCGCGUGUCUGAAGAAGGCCUUCGGGUUGUAAAGGACUUUUGUCAGGGAAGAAAAGGCUGUUGCUAAUACCGACAGCUGACGA